rnacentral:rRNA from 1 species
GCGCGGAGGACAUUAUA